rnacentral:misc_RNA from 1 species
UUUCCGUAGGUGAACCUGCGGAAGGAUCAUUCAUAAUAAGUGUUUUAUGGCACUUUUUUAAAUCCAUAUCCACCUUGUGUGCAAUGUCAGGGUUGAUUUUUCUCUCGAGAGGAUCAACCCCAAACAUCAACUAUAUCUCAACUCUUUGUCUGAAAAAUAUUAUAAAUAAAACAAUUCAAAAUACAACUUUCAACAACGGAUCUCUUGGCUCUC